rnacentral:rRNA from 1 species
UACAGAGGUCCCAAGCGUUGUUCGGAUUCAUUGGGCGUAAAGGGUGCGUAGGUGGCGCCGUAAGUCGGAGUGUGAAAUUCGUGGGCUUAACUCCGAAACUGCAUUUGAUACUGCGGUGCUUGAGGACUGGAGAGGAGACUGGAAUUCAUGGUGUAGCAGUGAAAUGCGUAGAGAUCAUGAGGAAGACCAGUGGCGAAGGCGGGUCUCUGGACAGUUCCUGACGCUGAGGCACGAAGGCCAGGGGAGCAAACGGG